GAUGAACGCUGGCGGCGUGCUUAACACAUGCAAGUCGAACGGAAAGGCUCCUGCUUGCAGGGGUACUCGAGUGGCGAACGGGUGAGUAACACGUGGGUGAUCUGCCCUUCACUUCGGGAUAAGCCUGGGAAACUGGGUCUAAUACCGGAUAGGACGAUGGUUUGGAUGCCAUGGUUGAAAGUUUUUUCGGUGUGGGAUGAGCUCGCGGCCUAUCAGCUUGUUGGUGGGGUAAUGGCCUACCAAGGCGUCGACGGGUAGCCGGCCUGAGAGGGUGUACGGCCACAUUGGGACUGAGAUACGGCCCAGACUCCUACGGGAGGCAGCAGUGGGGAAUAUUGCACAAUGGGCGCAAGCCUGAUGCAGCGACGACGCGUGGGGGAUGACGGCCUUCGGGUUGUAAACUCCUUUCGCUAGGGACGAAGCGCAAGUGACGGUACCUGGAGAAGAAGCACCGGCUAACUACGUG
rnacentral:rRNA from 1 species